AACGAACGCUGGCGGCGCGUCUUAACCAUGCAAGUCGAGCGGCAGGCAGCAAUGCCGAGAGCGGCGGACUGGUGAGUAACCCGUGGAUAACGUACCCCGAUGUCCGGGACAGCCUGUAGAAAUAGAGGGUAAUACCGGAUAGAUCACUGUUUACGUGAGGUAGACAGCGGGAAAGGAGCUUCGGCUCCGCGACGGGAUCGGUCUGCGGCCCAUCAGCUGGACGGCGGGGUAAAGGCCCGCCGUGGCGAGGACGGGUAUCCGGCCUGAGAGGGCGGACGGACACAUUGGGACUGAGACACGGACCAGACUCCUACGGGAGGCAGCAGGUAAGAAUAUUCCGCAAUGGGGGGAACCCUGACGGAGCGACGCCGCGUGAACGAAGAAGGCCGGAAGGUUGUAAAGUUCUUUUCUGUCCGAGGAAUAAGUUUCGGAGGAAAUGCCGGGACGGUGACGGUAGGGCAGGAAUAAGCACCGGCUAAUUACGUG
rnacentral:rRNA from 1 species